UCAAAAUCUCCUUUUACUUUGGGUCCUUUCAAAUCCAGGUCAACAUCAGGCAUGGGGAUCUUGGGGGCUUUGAUAUUCAUCUCUGGCAUCUUGAACUUGGGCCCUUUCAACUUUCCCUCUGGUCCUUCAAUGUUAACAUCAGGGCCUUCAACGUCCACUUUGGGGCCUGAGACAUCAACGUCAGCCUUGGGCAGGUUCACGUCCACAUCUGGACCUUCUCCUUUGAAGCCAGGCAUGCUGAUCUUGGGCAUUUUUAUCUUGGGCAUCUUUAGGUGCCAGUCUGGGCCUUGAACACCCACAUCUGGGGCAUUAAUAUCCACUUUGGGCCCCUUGAUGUCAACUUCGGGGCCCUUGAGGUCACCU
rnacentral:lncRNA from 1 species